GGCAUGAUGGCCAAGUGGGAAGGUGUCGGUCUUGUAAACCAAAAAUCACAGGUUCAGACCCUGUUCAUGCUU
rnacentral:tRNA from 1 species